AGAGUUUGAUCAUGGCUCAGAUUGAACGCUGGCGGCAGGCCUAACACAUGCAAGUCGAACGGUAACAGGAAGCAGCUUGCUGCUUCGCUGACGAGUGGCGGACGGGUGAGUAAUGUCUGGGAAACUGCCUGAUGGAGGGGGAUAACUACUGGAAACGGUGGCUAAUACCGCAUAACGUCGCAAGACCAAAGAGGGGGACCUUCGGGCCUCUUGCCAUCAGAUGUGCCCAGAUGGGAUUAGCUUGUUGGUGAGGUAACGGCUCACCAAGGCGACGAUCCCUAGCUGGUCUGAGAGGAUGACCAGCCACACUGGAACUGAGACACGGUCCAGACUCCUACGGGAGGCAGCAGUGGGGAAUAUUGCACAAUGGGCGCAAGCCUGAUGCAGCCAUGCCGCGUGUAUGAAGAAGGCCUUCGGGUUGUAAAGUACUUUCAGCGGGGAGGAAGGUGUUGUGGUUAAUAACCGCAGCAAUUGACGUUACCCGCAGAAGAAGCACCGGCUAACUCCGUGCCAGCAGCCGCGGUAAUACGGAGGGUGCAAGCGUUAAUCGGAAUUACUGGGCGUAAAGCGCACGCAGGCGGUCUGUCAAGUCGGAUGUGAAAUCCCCGGGCUCAACCUGGGAACUGCAUUCGAAACUGGCAGGCUUGAGUCUUGUAGAGGGGGGUAGAAUUCCAGGUGUAGCGGUGAAAUGCGUAGAGAUCUGGAGGAAUACCGGUGGCGAAGGCGGCCCCCUGGACAAAGACUGACGCUCAGGUGCGAAAGCGUGGGGAGCAAACAGGAUUAGAUACCCUGGUAGUCCACGCCGUAAACGAUGUCUACUUGGAGGUUGUGCCCUUGAGGCGUGGCUUCCGGAGCUAACGCGUUAAGUAGACCGCCUGGGGAGUACGGCCGCAAGGUUAAAACUCAAAUGAAUUGACGGGGGCCCGCACAAGCGGUGGAGCAUGUGGUUUAAUUCGAUGCAACGCGAAGAACCUUACCUGGUCUUGACAUCCACGGAAGUUUUCAGAGAUGAGAAUGUGCCUUCGGGAACCGUGAGACAGGUGCUGCAUGGCUGUCGUCAGCUCGUGUUGUGAAAUGUUGGGUUAAGUCCCGCAACGAGCGCAACCCUUAUCCUUUGUUGCCAGCG
rnacentral:rRNA from 1 species